ensembl:lncRNA
CGGUUGGACAGCACUUUUCUCUUAGCUUUUCAGAAGAAGUUUUGUGUUACGUCCACACGGUGGCAUUACUUUGUUAGUUUUGCAGAUUCUCACCGAAUCCUGCACCGGGGGCAGAGCAACUCCUCGACUGCAGGCUGGGGGCAGCACGGCAGCAAAGAACUUGUCUGUCCUGAUGGGUACAUCGCAUACGGCACAAAACUCUGUUGGGCGGCGUUAGCAAGAGCAGAGCCAGCGUGAUUCCCGUAGUGGUGCAUGAGAUGCAGAUGCUGCUGCUACACACAGAGGCUUGGUUGUCCUGAGGAUCACACAGUGCAGGGAGGUGCUGCUAACACAAGCCUGGCCCUCCCCAUUUUACAGAUAGGAUCUCCUACUGACGUUGCCCCUUCUGUGCUGGUACUACUGAUGUGGAUACAGCAGUGACUUGUGCACUUAUGUCCACCUUCAUGCUAACAGAUCUUCCAUUUGCUGCUGUAGUUCUGUCUGUCUCUCCUGAAGAGUUCCAGGUAUUGUCUCCAGUGGGGCUUUACAGUGCAAACAGAACUUAUAUGCAGAAGGUGUGACUUUGGACUUCAUCUGAAGCUUCCAUAGUGUUAAUUUCACAGGUACUGUCUUCUGCCCAAGUCAAAUGAUAACUUUCAUAAUGAGUGCUUCAGAAAUGAGACCACCUCUUAAUGUUCAUAGUGGCAUACAUCACUUGCACAUGGAAACUAGUUCUAACUUCAACAUUUGUUCUCUGUAUUUUCUUGAGAAUGUCAGUUCUUGCAAGGCUUUUAACUUUAUUCCUCCGCUCCGAAUAUUUUCAUAGUUUGCUUAACUCAUGCUACCAUCUGUUG